ACUAUGGAUGCUGACACUUGAAGACCAUGUAUUUCUUCAGACCAAUCUGGUAUUGCUAGAAUUAUCCAACAAAUUGAAUGUUCAUGAGAUAUUGUUAUUAUUUAUCUAUUUUUUAACAGAUUGGUCUUUUGCAAUUGGAGUGUUCUUGUCGGAGAUUUAAGAGGGGAAGUAUGAAAUAAAUAUUUCCUAUUGGUUUCUUCAAACUUCAGAUAAUUAAAAUGAAUGAUUCUCCUCUCCUAUUUCAAGAUGGAGAGAACAGUUGAGGAUUGGCCUUUAUUGUCUCAGAAACACUAACUUUGGUACUUUCAUCUCCUAUGAAUGUCCAUUUACAAACAAAAAUGAUGCAUUUAUUCAAGUACUAAUUGGUAGCAUGGAAGAGAGGAAAAACAUUAAUAGGAAAAACAUUAAUGCCAACUGCCAAGGGUUUCGACAAACAAGUGCUUUUCCUUAGUUCCCUAUUUUCUUUCUGCUUAUGAUAAGAAAAUUCUGCUUUUCUUUAAUUAUCUCCUUCUUUCUGUUUUGACAAGAAAAUUUUGUUUGGUAGGUUGG
rnacentral:misc_RNA from 1 species